rnacentral:sRNA from 1 species
CUAGCCCUGAUGGCAGCGGCAUCCUUUUUUGAGUGAGGCGGCGGAGCGGAGCGGAGCCGACCGAGCGAAAAAAAGAUACAGCGGACAGCAGG